UCAAACUUGGUCAUUUAGAGGAAGUAAAAGUCGUAACAAGGUUUCCGUAGGUGAACCUGCGGAAGGAUCAUUAACGAGUACUGGUUAUUUAGUUAACCGUCUCACCACCAUAUGUUGACUUAAAUCUGUUGCUUCGGUGAUCCAGCUCGAAUGUGUAGCUCUUCGGUCAUUUUUAUGACGGGAGUGAUGGUCACCGAACCCUUUUUAAACCAGUUUUAUGUGUAUUUCUGAAAAAUAAAAAUUAAAACAAAACUUUCAACAACGGAUCUCUUGGCUCUGGCAUCGAUGAAGAACGCAGC
rnacentral:misc_RNA from 1 species